UGUUUUUUUACAAGAUAUGACCGUGUAAUUACACCUAAGACAAAAUAUUGUCUUACCGUUGUUGUUAAUUCCCUCUUUGUUUUUAAAUCAUAAUCUCCUCGUGUUUCACUCGUACAUAUAUUUUCUCCAAGAAAGAGGUUGAAGAAGAGAACCGAUAGAUGAUUCAUGUUUUCACUGUGCUGAAAAACAGCGCAACUCAAAACCAUAUUUGUCGUCAACAGUCGCAAUUUCCCUUCUCCGCUCUCUCUCCUCUCAUCAGAAACUCUUCGUCACGGUUCUGUUCUCUGAUACCAACCAUCUCUUACUCCUCCUCGAUUUUGACACUAGAUUUUUUCUUCAUCGAUUUCAUUCAACUGGAUCUCUUUAUAUUGUGUUGAGGUCAAGGGAAGAUGAUGAUGUUAGGAUUGGUGGUUCAAAAAGGAUCUAUAGCCUUGCAGUGGAUUCCACUAAGUCGUGCAUAUGAUACAGAGAAUCCGUUUGUUUCACCGCUCGUCGACGUAUCUACAGCUGUGGAGCACAAGAUGAAGAGAACAUAGAGCAUGGAUUCUAAAUUUUCACAUGUGAACCCUCACUGACUUCCCCAAAUAGGUAAUCGGUACACUUGGUGGGUUGUUAUAGAUUUAUCGAAAGCACUAAGGAGGAAGCUUCAAGGUGAAGACUGUGAUUCAUCCUAUAUGUGUUCAGAUGAGCAACACUUGUUUCUCACUUGUGUCCGAGUCUGAUGAUGGUGAGUUCCCUCAAUUUAUUUAUAAUAAUUGUUGUUUUUUCUCGAGCAAAGCUCUGCCGAAUGUAUGAUAGAGAGGAGGAUCCUAGUGCUUUAGGAAAUGAAUGUACACGUAUACUUGAGAGGUGGAGAGUUUCAUUUAGUCGAAGAGGACGUGUUUCAGACGUUUAAUGAGCAGUUGCGAAGUUGUUAGGAGUUUUUUACAAAGAGAAACAGAGGAGAAGCAGAGGCGAGAAUAAAAGGAAGAAGAGAAGAUCAUUUCUAUUCAUUCAGAAAAGUCUGUGUGUGUGUGUGUGUUGUUUCUUCUUCAUCUUUCUCUGUGUACAUUGGGAUUUAUCCUUUCAAAGUUCUAGAGUUGUUUCUACUUGUAUACUAUUGGCUUUGGUGAGGUCGAUUCUUUGUAUUCUACAUUGAGUAGAGUAAUUCAUUCUACAUUGAUUCA